GAUGAACGCUCGCGAUAGGCUUAACACAUGCAAGUCGAGGGGCAGCACAAGGUAGCUUGCUAUCUGGGUGGCGACCGGCGCACGGGUGCGUAACGCGUAUGCAACUUGCCCUAUACAGGAGGAUAACCCGUCGAAAGACGGACUAAUACUGCGCAUGCUCACAACUUGGCAUCAAGUGGUGAGGAAAGAAAUUCGGUAUAGGAUAGGCAUGCGUCCCAUUAGCUUGUUGGUGAGGUAACGGCUCACCAAGGCAACGAUGGGUAGGGGAACUGAGAGGUUUAUCCCCCACACUGGUACUGAGACACGGACCAGACUCCUACGGGAGGCAGCAGUGAGGAAUAUUGGUCAAUGGGCGCGAGCCUGAACCAGCCAAGUCGCGUGAAGGAUGACUGUCUUAUGGAUUGUAAACUUCUUUUAUACGGGAAUAACAAGAGUCACGUGUGACUCCCUGCAUGUACCGUAUGAAUAAGCAUCGGCUAACUCCGUG
rnacentral:rRNA from 1 species